AGGACAAACGCUGGCGGGGUGCAUGAGACAUGCAAGUCGAACGAGGUGCCAUCGGGCUUGCUCGAUGGUUACCUAGUGGCGGACGGCUGAGUAACGCGUAGGUGACCUACCCGGAAGUGGGGAAUAACUGCCCGAAAGGGUGGCUAAUACCGCAUGUGGUCGGCGAUUCGAUUCGCCGUCUAAAGGAGCAAUUCGCUUCCGGAGGGGCCUGCGUCCGAUUAGCUAGUUGGUGGGGUAACGGCUCACCAAGGCGACGAUCGGUAGCUGGUCUGAGAGGAUGAUCAGCCAGACUGGGACUGAGAACGGCCCAGACUCCUACGGGAGGCAGCAGUCGGGAAUUUUGCCCAAUGGACGAAAGUCUGAGGCAGCAACUCCGCGUGAGGGAUGAAGGCUCUCGGGUCGUAAACCUCUUUUUCUCAGGGAAGAUCCAAGACGGUACCUGAGGAAUAAGCGACGGCUAACUACGUGCCAGCAGCCGC
rnacentral:rRNA from 2 species